ACAGCACGGAGCUUCAGACAAGCUCAUGUCCACUGCCGGUAAGACGUAAGUUACCUUUAUAUGUAUGUUUAUGUUAAUCUUUAUUCUCGUCCGGUGUCACGUGACGCGACACGGCAAAUGCAGCCGGCGUAGCGAGUUAACCCCGGCAAGCCACGGAUACCGUAACUAGUUAAACACCGUGUUAGCUGCCGUUAAAAACCAUAGAAUAAGUGUGGAGUGGGCCUGUGGAGUCGACGUCUCUGCGGGCUUCAGAACAGCACGGAGCUUCACACAAGCUCAUGUCCACUGCCGAGACUACUAUUAAUAUCUGGUAUGAAAACAAUAGAUGUAUGAAGAUUAAGAGCUGGAGAGAGAUGCUGAGUGUCUCUCCUUCAACAUGUGCAGAGCUCUGUUUAUGCAUCAUCCUCAUCAUCUGCCAGACAACUGGCAACUCCUGUACGGACCCAAACAGCAUGCUGCACCCAACAACAACACAUCAGAUCUCACAAUGUGUCAAAUGUAUGUAUGUAUAUAUCUUUUCUCAUUUUUAUGGUUUUAGAUAUUUGUGUUUUUGUGACCUUGCACUAUAAGCUCUGUGUUCAAUAUUUACUGUCCCUGUUGUGGUUAAUACAUAUUUUUCAUGGACUAAUAUCUACAUGUCUCAUUAAUAUGUGAAUCAUUAUAGUGAACAGUAAAGACAUAUUUAAUUUAAUUAGUUGCUAGACUCGCAGGAGAACACCAUUUUUGACCGUGUGAGAACAGACAGUGUCGCAACGAAUGUUUUGAUUUCCUUCAUUUUUUUGAACAGACAAAUGGGUUUUGU